CAGGUGCAAACAAUGCACCUCAGUGACAGGAAGGGGUGGAGGCAGGAUCCAACCCUUCCCAGACCUCACUGAAGGGUUGGUAGCGAAAGCAAGGGUAUUUUUCUCUGGAGAUUCUUGUAUAUCUGAGGUCUUUUGAAGGGGAGUGGCAGGAAAGAGGAGUGAAGGACUCCAGGGGCAGAAUCAUCAGAUUGGUGUGAUGAGCUUGCAGGAAGAUCAGAAAGCGGAAGAGUGAGAAAUUUCCUAGAAGGACGUUUCAAGGUUCCAGAACAAAUGUGGUCAUUGUAAGUGGUUGCAUCAGCCUUUUGCUGAUACUUCAGUACCAGCUCUGCAUAAGGAGCAAAGUUCCAUGACAAAAAUAAACUAUAUGAAGAAGGCUUAAAUGCAGGGGAAAAAAACAAAACAGGAUUCUUCAGUGUAAGGAUCUUGUUUAUCCCCAGAAAACAAUGUUUGGCUGAGCACAAUAACAUCUGGCCAGACCUGAGGGGGAUUUUUAUGAGUUCCAUGUGGGAUACUGAAGUCUUGGCCUAACUGGCCUCAAAUACCCCAGAAAGAUGCACUUUCUAUGUACAUAUCUACUCAACCCGCUCUAUUUUUCGACCCUGUUGCUGAGCCACCCUGGUGCCACAUGUGACAAAAACAGGAAGAAGGAAGGCAGGGAGGAUCAUAACAGUUCAUAUCAGACCAGGGCAGGAUGAAUGAGACUCACCACCUCUCUUGAAUGUAGCCUCAGUCAGUCUUGGCUGGAGCAGCUCUGGCAUGUGGAGGAACCCUAGAAUGCAUCUGUGUCCCAAGAUGUGGGACCUGGCAGUCAUCAAGCCUUCACUGAAACCUGCCCCUAUCAUUACUUGCUCCUCUACUUAAGCAUGAUGCAGAAAUACUAACCCUAACGCUGUACUUCUCUGUCAAAGGUGCAGACACAACACUUUGGCAGGGCUGGGAAAAGAUAGCCUGGGGAAACGGGGACUAAACUGCAGAGAUGAGAGGCUGGGAGUGACAGCACAUGCUGCGUAUUAUGGUAGUUGCCAGUGGUUAUCAGUUACAGAUGGCAGGAGGCCAAAUGCCACAUGCAGGAUGGAUAUGGUUCCCUCUUCUUCCUUUCCCAGCCAGCCAUCAUAACUUGAACUGUGAUUAAAAUAUGGGUUCUGGGACACUGAAAGAAAGCCAACGCCCAAUGUAAAAGGGAGGUUUAUUGAUGAAAAAGUACAUAUGAUUAUGGUAUAGAUCUAGAGAGAUUUGCCAUGAAAAGAAACAAAAAGUCAGAUACUAGUACAAACAACAUCACAGUCUCCCACUGUGCUUAGAAAGGUAAAAUAACCCUUUCUGGGACUUAACAACAGAAGAAAAUAGGAUGCUUGAUCAGUUGUUCAACUUGCUCCUACAGGGGAAAAUUCAAAAGAAAAUAAAAUGAGAAAAAAAGCACAGGUAUAGAAUAUAAAAUAUGUUUUCAGGACACUGAAUAGAUAGUCCAUUCCAUGCAAAACAGACUAAAAAUGGAUCAAAAACUAUCAGCAAACUAUGCCUACGUACCCAGAUAAUUGCUCAGCAGAUAAUGGCCAGCGUAACUGUUAAACUGAGCAGCGUACAGAUCUGGACCUCCCCUACAAUAAGAUAGCAUUGUACAUCUGACUGGCCAACACACACCUCUAUGAUUCACGUCAUAUCCAGCGUUCUCCUCAGAAUAUGAUUUGACUGGCUAGGAUUGCAUUCCUGAAGUUCAUGUGAAAUGCCUUGCCUUACCUGUGCCCAUUAAGCACACAAGCUUUGAGGGAUGUUGUAGGUAGAAUAUUGUUUAAGUGUUGAUGUUUUUGAGGAAUCUCUGCAGGUAUUUUCCAGUGUUUCUGUUUUUCUGCACUUUGGCUUUCACCCUAUAGAGGGGCUGAGCUCCUCCUGUGAACAGCGUAGUGGUCCACAAAUGUAGUCCACAGAGCUUAUGACACAGGAUGGGAUCUGGCCACUGUUUCUGACUGCUUCCUGGAAAGCCUGGUAGAGACCAACGGCUCCUUUCCUGCAAGAAUAGCUCUCACUCUACUCAUCCUUCCAAUCCUUCUGUUCAUGCUACUUUAUAUUUCACCUUCUUACCUUUGUUUUUACUAACUGUUCUCUCUACUUUCCUUCCCCAGUGCUUCACCUUCAUUGCUUUUUUUUUUCUUUCACUUACCUUACUUUCACUUAUCAUUACCCCAUUUCUGCAACAGCAUCUCUGCAAAGUGAAACGUACUGAGCAACAGCAUAUUCUUCUGGAAAAGAGGGAAGGAGAUGUUCUUAUUAUAAGCGUCGCUGGUCCAUUUUAGCAAAUAUUUUGCGCGAGUCAGCUGCAUAGCAGAAAUUCGCACCGAGGGAGCCUUCACAGAAAGAGAAGACUUCACAGGAACAAAGCCGGAGAGCAUCUUCACAUCAAUAACGACCAUGUUGGAGCUAGAGCGCUUCCCUGUGUAACUGAAACACCAGAGGUCCCUGUCAGUCUGAUUUGUGCUAGGGGAAGGAAAUCUCACUCUCUGCUCUUGGCCUCAUACAACACAGAAAGAAUGGAGUGAAUCACACGCACUUGCUGACUGGCUCAAAUGGGAGACACUGUGGGAAGGCCCCUGGUAUGAGGUGGCUAAGUAUGUGCUAGCACCUUAUGUACUAAUAGUGUAAGUAUCACAUGGUCUUUUGGGAAAUAUGUCAUAUUGGUUGAUACCAUCAACACUCUUCAGAAUAGAUCAGCUCAUGGUUUAUGGCUUUAAGCAAAAGUGAGUAUACACAGCAAUCUUCUUGGCAUGUCAACUGGGCAGCUGGUUUGUUGAUGGCACAU